GACGAACGCUGGCGGCGUGCUUAACACAUGCAAGUCGAACGGAAAGGCCCUGCUUUUGUGGGGUGCUCGAGUGGCGAACGGGUGAGUAACACGUGAGUAACCUGCCCUUGACUUUGGGAUAAAUUCAGGAAACUGGGGCUAAUACCGGAUAGGAGCUCCUGCUGCCUGGUGGGGGUUGGAAAGUUUCGGCGGUUGGGGAUGGACUCGCGGCUUAUCAGCUUGUUGGUGGGGUAGUGGCUUACCAAGGCUUUGACGGGUAGCCGGCCUGAGAGGGUGACCGGCCACAUUGGGACUGAGAUACGGCGCAGACUCCUACGGGAGGCAGCGGUGGGGAAUAUUGCACAAUGGGCGGAAGCCUGAUGCAGCAACGCCGCGUGCGGGAUGACGGCCUUCGGGUUGUAAACCGCUUUCGCCUGUGACGAAGCGUGAGUGACGGUAAUGGGUAAAGAAGCACCGGCUAACUACGUG
rnacentral:rRNA from 1 species